UGAGCAAUCUGCCCUUCUCAUCGGAAUAAGCGUUGGAAACGACGUCUAAUGCCGAAUACGACCUCCUUUCGCAUGAUCGGAGGUGGAGAGCUCCGGCGGAGAAGGAUGAGCUCGCGGCCUAUCAGCUAGUUGGUGAGGUAACGGCCCACCAAGGCGACGACGGGUAGCUGGUCUGAGAGGAUGGCCAGCCACAUUGGGACUGAGACACGGCCCAGACUCCGUAACGGGG
rnacentral:rRNA from 1 species